rnacentral:ribozyme from 17 species
AUCAAUUUUUUUAUUUUUUUUUAUUUCUUCCUUCUCAUACGGUAAGUUACGGUAAUUACAA